GAGUUUGAUCCUGGCUCAGGAUGAACGCUGGCGGCGUGCUUAACACAUGCAAGUCGAACGGGAAACCUUUUAUUGAAGCUUCGGCAGAUUUAGAUUGUUUCUAGUGGCGGACGGGUGAGUAACGCGUGGGUAACCUGCCUUAUACAGGGGGAUAACAGUCAGAAAUGACUGCUAAUACCGCAUAAGCGCACAGAGCUGCAUGGCUCGGUGUGAAAAACUCCGGUGGUAUAAGAUGGACCCGCGUUGGAUUAGCUAGUUGGUGAGGUAACGGCCCACCAAGGCGACGAUCCAUAGCCGGCCUGAGAGGUUGAACGGCCACAUUGGGACUGAGACACGGCCCAGACUCCUACGGGAGGCAGCAGUGGGGAAUAUUGCACAAUGGGGGAAACCCUGAUGCAGCGACGCCGCGUGGAGGAAGAAGGUCUUCGGAUUGUAAACUCCUGUUGUUGAGGAAGAUAAUGACGGUACUCAACAAGGAAGUGACGGCUAACUACGUGCCAGCCGCCGCGGUAAUUC
rnacentral:rRNA from 1 species